GAGCGAACAGAGAAGGAGCUUGCUCCUUUGACGUUAGCGGCGGACGGGUGAGUAACACGUGGGCAACCUACCUUAUAGUUUGGGAUAACUCCGGGAAACCGGGGCUAAUACCGAAUAAUCUGUUUCACCUCAUGGUGAAAUAUUGAAAGACGGUUUCGGCUGUCGCUAUAGGAUGGGCCCGCGGCGCAUUAGCUAGUUGGUGAGGUAACGGCUCACCAAGGCGACGAUGCGUAGCCGACCUGAGAGGGUGAUCGGCCACACUGGGACUGAAACACGGCCCAGACUCCUACGGGAGGCAGCAGUAGGGAAUCUUCCACAAUGGGCGAAAGCCUGAUGGAGCAACGCCGCGUGAGUGAAGAAGGAUUUCGGUUCGUAAAACUCUGUUGUAAGGGAAGAACAAGUACAGUAGUAACUGGCUGUACCUUGACGGUACCUUAUUAAAAAGCCACGGCUAACUACGUGCCAGCAGCCGCGGUAAUACGUAGGUGGCAAGCGUUGUCCGGAAUUAUUGGGCGUAAAGCGCGCGCAGGUGGUUUCUUAAGUCUGAUGUGAAAGCCCACGGCUCAACCGUGGAGGGUCAUUGGAAACUGGGAGACUUGAGUGCAGAAGAGGAUAGUGGAAUUCCCAGUGUAGCGGUGAAAUGCGUACAGAUUUGGAGGAACACCAGUGGCGAAGGCGACUAUCUGGUCUGUAACUGACACUGAGGCGCGAAAGCGUGGGGAGCAAA
rnacentral:rRNA from 1 species